UACAGGGGGUGCAAACGUUGCUCGGAAUUAUUGGGCGUAAAGCGCGCGUAGGCGGCCGCUUAAGUCGGAUGUGAAAGCCCCUGGCUCAACUGGGGAAGUGCACCCGAAACUGAGUGGCUUGAGUACUAAAGAGGGUCGCGGAAUUCCCGGUGUAGAGGUGAAAUUCGUAGAUAUCGGGAGGAACACCGGUGGCGAAGGCGGCGACCUGGGUAGAUACUGACGCUGAGGCGCGAAAGCGUGGGAGCAAACAGG
rnacentral:rRNA from 1 species